rnacentral:rRNA from 1 species
AACGAACGCUGGCGGCAUGCCUAACACAUGCAAGUCGAACGAGAUCUUCGGGUCUAGUGGCGCACGGGUGCGUAACGCGUGGGAAUCUGCCCUUUGGUUCGGAAUAACAGUUGGAAACGACUGCUAAUACCGGAUGAUGACGAAAGUCCAAAGAUUUAUCGCCAGAGGAUGAGCCCGCGUAGGAUUAGCUAGUUGGUGUGGUAAAGGCGCACCAAGGCGACGAUCCUUAGCUGGUCUGAGAGGAUGAUCGGCCACACUGGGACUGAGACACGGCCCAGACUCCUACGGGAGGCAGCAGUGGGGAAUAUUGGACAAUGGGCGAAAGCCUGAUCCAGCAAUGCCGCGUGAGUGAUGAAGGCCUUAGGGUUGUAAAGCUCUUUUACCCGGGAUGAUAAUGACGGUACCGGGAGAAUAAGCUCCGGCUAACUCCGUGCCAGCAGCCGCAGUAA